UACGAAGGGGGCUAGCGUUGUUCGGAAUUACUGGGCGUAAAGCGUAUGCAGGCGGAUCGCUAAGUCGGGGGUGAAAUCCCGAGGCUCAACCUCGGAACUGCCUUCGAUACUGGCGAUCUUGAGUCCGGGAGAGGUGAGUAGAACUCCGAGUGUAGAGGUGAAAUUCGUAGAUAUUCGGAAGAACACCAGUGGCGAAGGCGGCUCACUGGCCCGGUACUGACGCUGAGAUACGAAAGCGUGGGGAGCAAACAGG
rnacentral:rRNA from 1 species